GGGAGCGGAGGGCGCGGGUCAGCUGUGAGCGCUGCCCCUGCGGUGGUGGGCUUAAGGGAGAGCGAGAACGCUGUGCGGCAGCAAAGAGAGAGCGAGGAGACGGGGGGAAACAGCCCAGGUGAGGGCAGGAGGUGCUCCGGGCACAGAGCGGCAGCUCCCUGCAGGCAGCCCAGGAGAGGCCCACGGUGGAGCAGGCCAUCCCCCUGCUGCCCGCGGGCACCGCACGGAGCAGAUCUGCUCUUGCAGCCAUGGAGGAACCUGUGGUGCAGCAGUGGAUGUGGACUGAAGAAGGUGCAGCCCACGGAGCCCCACAGGAGCAGGGCCUGGGCCGGAGCUGCAGCCCGUGGGGAAGAGCUGUGGGGAGCCGAGGGUCUGGGGGAGGAGCUGGAGCAGUGCCUAAAGGAUGGGCCCCAUGGUAUCGAGCCACAGCAGAGAAAUGCUUGGAGAGCUGCGGCCCACGGGAAGCCCAAGUGGGAUCAGUUCAGAAGGACAGCAUCCAUGGGAGGGACCUUUGAUGGUAUCAGCAGGCAAUGGGAGUACAGCCUGGUGUGCCUCAGACAUGCAGCCCAGCUCCAAACAGCCUAACAGCUUUCUGUGAGGCCUUGUGCUCUCAUUACAAACUCCUCAAAGAUGUAGCAAAAAUAAACAGACAAACUUCCUA